UUUCCGUAGGUGAACCUGCGGAAGGAUCAUUAUUGUAUAACCGAGGUGCGAGGGCUGUCGCUGACCCGAAAGGUCGUGCACGCCCGAGUGCCCUCACACACAUCCAUCUCACCCCUAUGUGCACCACCGCGUGGGUCCCCCUUUGGCUUGUUCGGAGGGGGGCUUACGUUUUCACACAAACUUUGUAUGCAGUGUAGAAUGUAUUUUUUGUUUUUGCGAUCACGCAAUCAAUACAACUCUCAACAACGGAUCUCUUGGCUCUCGCAUCGAUGAAGACGCAGC
rnacentral:misc_RNA from 1 species